rnacentral:pre_miRNA from 1 species
AAUAAGUGUACUUUUAUACUAUUUAUUUCUAACGUUUGACCGUUCGUCUUCUUUGAAAUUCUUUUACGCUUAGUAUUUUUAUUAUUAUUAGAUGAUAAAACAUGAAUAGUAUUUUACUUGCGACUAUUUUUUUAAAUUUUUUCAUAAUUUUUUCAAACAAGACACGGAUAGCCAUAGCUGCACUAACU